GUGCCAGCAGCCGCGGUAAUACGUAGGUGGCAAGCGUUGUCCGGAUUUACUGGGCGUAAAGGAUGUGUAGGCGGAUAUUUAAGCGAGAUGUGAAAUCCCCGGGCUUAACUUGGGGGCUGCAUUUCAAACUGGAUGUCUAGAGUGCAGGAGAGGAAAGCAGAAUUCCUAGUGUAGCGGUGAAAUGCGCAGAAAUUAGGAAAAAUACAAGUGGCGAAGGCGGCUUUCUGGAC
rnacentral:rRNA from 1 species